UACGUAGGUGGCAAGCGUUGUUCGGAUUUACUGGGCGUAAAGCGCACGUAGGCGGGUCUUUAAGUCAGGGGUGAAAUCCUGGAGCUCAACUCCAGAACUGCCUUUGAUACUGAAGAUCUUGAGUUCGGGAGAGGUGAGUGGAACUGCGAGUGUAGAGGUGAAAUUCGUAGAUAUUCGCAAGAACACCAGUGGCGAAGGCGGCUCACUGGCCCGAUACUGACGCUGAGGCACGAAAGCGUGGGGAGCAAACAGG
rnacentral:rRNA from 1 species